rfam:Octopus bimaculoides Scaffold15771_contig_354, whole genome shotgun sequence.
GUUGGUUACGGUGACAUGUACCCGAAAAGCUCAUUUGGCUACAUCAUCGGGUCCCUGUGUGCCAUUUCCGGUUUGCUUAUGAUUGCUUUUACGGUACCCAUUAUUGUGAGUAAC